rnacentral:rRNA from 12 species
CCCGCGACAGGACGGAAAGACCCCAUGGAGCUUUACUGUAGCUUGAUAUUGAGUAUUUGUUAAACAUGUACAGGAUAGGUAGGAGCCAGAGAAGAUAGGACGCCAGUUUUAUCAGAGGCAAUGUUGGGAUACUACCCUUGUUUGAUGGAUCCUCUAACUCGUCACACUAAGCGUGUGAGAGGACAGUGUCAGGUGGGCAGUUUGACUGGG